UCCCCGAUAGCUCAGUUGGUAAAGAAUCUGCUUGCAGUGUAGGAAACCCUGGUUUGAUUCCUGGGUGGGGAA
rnacentral:tRNA from 1 species